UUUCGGGAGCUUGCUCCUGAGACGUUUAGCGGCGGACGGGUGAGUAACACGUGGGCAACCUGCCCUGCAGUUCGGGAUAACUCCGGGAAACCGGUGCUAAUACCGGAUAGGUCGGAACCUCGCAUGAGGUUCCGCGGAAAGACGGCAUCUCGCUGUCACUGCAGGAUGGGCCCGCGGCGCAUUAGCUAGUUGGUGGGGUAGUGGCCCACCAAGGCGACGAUGCGUAGCCGACCUGAGAGGGUGAUCGGCCACACUGGGACUGAGACACGGCCCAGACUCCUACGGGAGGCAGCAGUAGGGAAUCUUCCGCAAUGGACGCAAGUCUGACGGAGCAACGCCGCGUGAGUGAAGAAGGUUUUCGGAUCGUAAAACUCUGUUGUAAGGGAAGAACACGUACCAGUUAACUGCUGGUACCUUGACGGUACCUUACCAGAAAGCCACGGCUAACUACGUGCCAGCAGCCGCGGUAAUACGUAGGUGGCAAGCGUUGUCCGGAAUUAUUGGGCGUAAAGCGCGCGCAGGCGGUCUUUUAAGUCUGAUGUGAAAGCCCACGGCUCAACCGUGGAGGGUCAUUGGAAACUGAAGGACUUGAGU
rnacentral:rRNA from 1 species